rnacentral:lncRNA from 12 species
CUGGACCAAAGGCAGGCACCAAACCACUGAGCCACCCAGGGAUCCCCACAUAGUGUUGUCUUUUAAACAUGACAUGGGCCUGGGACAGUGAAGGAACCUGAGGACGUGGGAUAGCUAAGAAGUGAAUACACUGGGGGCUCCUGGAUGGCUCAACUGGUUGAGUGUCUGCCUUUGGCUCAGGUCAUGGUCCCAGGGUCCUGGGAUCAAGCCACAUAUUGGGCUCUGGGCUUGGCAGGAAGCCUGCUUCUCCCUCUCCCUCUGCCUGCUCCUCCCCCUGCUUGUAUUCUCUCUGUGUCAAAUAAAUAAAUAAAAUCUUAAAAAGAAAAAGUCAAUACAUUGAUUGGAAAGGGUUGACAUGUUAGCCAUAUUUUUUUUUUUUUUUUUUUUUUUUUUUUUUUUUUUUGUUAGCCAUAUUUUUUAAAGAUUUAUUUAUUUGAGAGAGAGAGAACAUGAGCAAAGAGAGGCAAAGGGAGAGAGGAUCCCAAGCAGACUCUGUGCUGAGGGCAGAGCCCGAUGAGGGGCUCUGACUCAUGACACCGAGUUCACGACCUGAGCCGAAACCAAGAGUCCAUUGCUUACCCGACUACAGCACCCAGGCACCCUGCUAUAUAUUUAUUUAAUAUAUUUCAAGAAAUUUAAAUAUGAGGGAAAGAAAAAAUAUAUUCCAUACUCACACUCCUGUAACACACGGGCACUAAUUAAAUGUAUUUCCUUCUACUGGGUUAUAAACAAGGAGCAAUCACUAAAAAGAGCAAGAGAAAUGCUUUACUAUCAAGCAAAAAUGCAAGAUGCCAAAUUGGGCAAAGAACAAAAAGGAACGUACACACUGAAUGUGCACGUGGUAAGCGCCAGGAGGGAGCUCACAAACGUGACCUCUGGACGAGUGGAGGAAUAUGGAAAGUCUUCAUUUGCAAAGCUCCCAGUACUGGCAGCGCCGUGGCUGCAGCUCCAGCUCGGAGAGGAGGAGGGACUCAGCCAUGCAGCCACUGGAGCUCAGGCACUUCGAUACCUGCUGUUGAUUCCCUGAGAGUCCUUGAUGCGGAACCCACCCGGGAACUUGAGAGAGCCGUGAGAAACCAUUUCCCAAAAGCCUUCCCAGACUUUAUCUGGCCCAAGUUCCCAGGUGACGGGGUUGCAAGGCCGCCCGCCACGCCCACGGUGACAGAGCCUGACUCCCAGCUCGCAGGAGCAUCCUUCACGCCGCGGCGGGUCAGGAACGUCGUCUUCGGACUUGAUGAAAUUUUCAUUCCUGACGUUAAUGGUGUCUUUCUCUCCGCCCCGCUCCCCAAUCUAACCAGACCAAAUACAGGAGGCCGUGGAGGGCAGGCAGCAGGCAUCUGGGGACACAUAGGCCUCCUCCUGUGCUUGUGUCUUACUUACAACCACUACACAAUAUCCCGUCAGGGCCACGCCACCCUCACUUAA